rnacentral:rRNA from 1 species
GACGAACGCUGGCGGCGUGCUUAACACAUGCAAGUCGAACGGAAAGGCCUUUUCGGAGGUACUCGAGUGGCGAACGGGUGAGUAACACGUGGGUGAUCUGCCCUGCACUCUGGGAUAAGCCUGGGAAACUGGGUCUAAUACCGGAUAGGACCGCACUUUAGUGCGUGUGGUGGAAAGUUUUUUCGGUGUAGGAUGAGCUCGCGGCCUAUCAGCUUGUUGGUGGGGUAAUGGCCUAACAAGGCGGCGACGGGUAGCCGGACGGAGAGGUUGGUCGGCCACAUUGGGACUGAGAUACGGCCCAGACUCCUACGGGAGGCAGCAGUGGGGAAUAUUGCACAAUGGGCGCGAGCCUGAGGCAGCGACGCCGCGUGGGGGAAGACGGCCUUCGGGUUGGAAGCGCCUUUCGCCAGGGGCAGAGCGUUUUGUGGCGGUACCUGGAGAAGAAGCACCGGCUAACUACGUG